UGUCAUUCGCCACCAACCACGCCACCGACCACAAGCCAAAAAUUAUAUUUCCUCAUAAAUUCGCAAAUAAUUCUGCCGGCACCAUAAAACAGGGCAUAAAUAAUAUUCCGUCCCAUGCAACCAAUAAUUUGGCCCAAGAAAACAUUAAAAUAGGAGUCACAGGCAAUAAAACAUGGCCACAAAAACCAAAGAAAAAGUUUACACACAUACGUCCACACAUUCCACCCGUGCGUAUACAGCAAAAACCACCGCAUUUGGCAAAUUUUUGUCAAACGUAUGCGCACGGUGUGGGCUAAAUAUCCACAAUUAAUCAAUGAACAUAAACUCCCAGCAGCAGUUCCACACCAUGAUUACAUUCAUGAAGCCCAGGUUACGGCACCAAACACGAUCACAGACACAUAUACAAUGUGAUAUAUAUAUAUAUAUAUAGCCGGCCGAAUAUUUGUCAAUUCUUGCGAACUCUCGCUCUGUCUGGCGUAUAAAGAAAAACAUCGUUCAAAGAAAAACUGUCGCACCGAAUAUAUGUACAUUAAUGUGGGUCUACACUGCACGUUUCUUCCCAGUGAGUGUCGAUACGAUUCGAAUAAAGAUGACCAGGAGCCAAUUAAAUCUUUACACACCCAAUGACCGACAUCGCCAUAACCCAGCAAACCAUUUUGUAUAUGAUGCCAAUAAAUAUCAUCAUAAAAUUUUA